rnacentral:rRNA from 1 species
GACGAACGCUGGCGGCGUGCUUAACACAUGCAAGUCGAACGGAAAGGCCCUGCUUUUGUGGGGUGCUCGAGUGGCGAACGGGUGAGUAACACGUGAGUAACCUGCCCUUGACUUUGGGAUAACUUCAGGAAACUGGGGCUAAUACCGUAUAGGAGCUCCUGCUGCAUGGUGGGGGUUGGAAAGUUUCGGCGGUUGGGGAUGGACUCGCGGCUUAUCAGCUUGUUGGUGGGGUAGUGGCCUACCAAGGCUUUGACGGGUAGCCGGCCUGAGAGGGUGACCGGCCACAUUGGGACUGAGAUACGGCCCAGACUCCUACGGGAGGCAGCAGUGGGGAAUAUUGCACAAUGGGCGGAAGCCUGAUGCAGCAACGCCGCGUGCGGGAUGACGGCCUUCGGGUUGUAAACCGCUUUCGCCUGUGACGAAGCGUGAGUGACGGUAAUGGGUAAAGAAGCACCGGCUAACUACGUG